rnacentral:rRNA from 1 species
CGGUGCNUUACACCANNCUAGAGGAGCUGUCUAUAAUCGAUAACCCCCGAUAACCUCACCASCUYKGCUAAUUCAGUCUAUAUACCGCCGUCUUCAGCAACCUAAAAAGGAACCACAGUAAGCACAAUACAUAACAUAAAACGUCAGGUCRNNGUGUANCCUAUGAGCUGGAAGAAUNGGCUACAUUCCUAUUAAGGUUUAUCAACACCUAACUUACGAAAUUACCGUGAAAUCAGUAAUUG